rnacentral:rRNA from 1 species
UACGUAGGGGGCAAGCGUUGUCCGGAAUCAUUGGGCGUAAAGCGCGUGUAGGCGGCUCGGUAAGUCUGCUCUGAAAGUCCAAGGCUCAACCUUGGGAUGCGGGGUGGAUACUGCCGGGCUCGAGUCCGGAAGAGGCGAGUGGAAUUCCUGGUGUAGCGGUGAAAUGCGCAGAUAUCAGGAGGAACACCAAUUGCGAAGGCAGCUCGCUGGGACGUUACUGACGCUGAGACGCGAAAGCGUGGGGAGCAAACAGGAUAGAUACCCGGAG